AUGGAUGGAAUGAUCUCAUUAUUUGUUUCCUCUUUCUUUCUUUUUUCCUCCUCUUUCUUUUCAUUUUUCUCCUCUUUCUUUCUUU
rnacentral:ribozyme from 12 species